GACGAACCGUGCGAACGUUGUUCGGAAUCACUGGGCUUAAAGGGCGCGUAGGCGGACAGGCCAGUCUAGGGUGAAAUCUUUCGGCUCAACCGGAAAAGUGCCUUGGAUACUGCCUGUCUCGAGGGAGGUAGGGGCCGCGGGAACUUCCGGUGGAGCGGUGAAAUGCGUUGAUAUCGGAAGGAACGCCGGUGGCGAAAGCGCGCGGCUGGCCCUCUUCUGACGCUGAGGCGCGAAAGCCAGGGGAGCAAACGGG
rnacentral:rRNA from 1 species